AUUGCUUCUUGGCCUUUUGGCUAAGAUCAGUUGUAGUAUCUAUUUUUAUUAGUUUAAUAUCUGAUAUGUCCUCUAUCCAAGGACAAUAUAUUGAAUGAAUUUUUGGAAGUAGGAGUUGGAAUAGGAGCUUGUUCCAUCCACUCCACUCAUUGACCUGGUAUUGUAGAACCUCCAGGAAGAGUACACCCUUU
rnacentral:snRNA from 1 species